rnacentral:rRNA from 1 species
GCCGAUGAAAGACGUGAUAAGCUGCGAUAAGCUUCGGGGAGCUGCAAAUAAGCAUUGAUCCGGAGAUUUCUGAAUGAGGAAACUCACCUGGGUUCAUACUCAGGUACGUUGUACUGAAAUUCAAAAUAGGUACAUCGGGGGAACCGCCUGAACUGAAACAUCUAAGUAGGGCGAGGAAGAGACAUCAAACGAGAUUCCGUAAGUAGUGGCGAGCGAACGCGGAAGAGGGCAAACCGGAGGUAGAAAUACCUUCGGGGUACGGACUGCUUUUAGGACUCGAUCUGUUAACCGAACGGCAUGGGAAGGCCGGUCAGAGAGUGUGAGAACCACGUAGGUGAAAACGGAAAGAGCUGCGCAGAUUCCAGAGUACGGCCAGACACGUGAAACCUGGUCGGAAGAUGGGGGGACCACCCUCCAACCCUAAAUACUACCCAGUGACCGAUAGCGUAUAGUACUGUGAAGGAAAGGUGAAAAGCACCCCGGGAGGGGAGUGAAAAAGAACCUGAAACCCUGUGCCUACAAGCACCUAGAGCACGUCAAAGUGUGAUAGGGUACUUUUUGUAGAACGGUCCGGCGAGCGAUUGUAUGCAGCAAGGUUAAGGACUUAAGGUCUGGAGCCGAAGCGAAAGCGAGUUUGAAAAGGGCGUUAAGUUGCAUAUAAUGGGCCCGAAACCGGGUGACCUACCCAUGGUCAGGUUGAAGUGGAAGUAAAAUUCCAUGGAGGACCGAACCGACCUCCGUUGAAAAGGCGGCGGAUGAACUGUGGGUAGCGGAGAAAUUCCAAUCGAACCCGGAGAUAGCUGGUUCUCCCCGAAAUAGUUUUAGGACUAGCCUCAAGUUAGAUACCUGGAGGUAAAGCACUGAAUAGCCUAGCGGCCGAGAGGUUAGCGAAGCUUAUCAAACUCAGAAUGCCAGAGUAUUGAUGCUUGGGAGUCAGACAGUGUCAGAUAAAUGUCAUUGUCAAAAGGGAAACAGCCCAGAUCUACAGCUAAGGUCCCAAAGUCAGGUUAAGUGGAAAACGAUGUGAAGAUACGCAGACAACCAGGAUGUUGGCUCAGAAGCAGCCACUCAUUCAAAGAGUGCGUAAUAGCUCACUGGUCGAGCGUCUUUGCGCGGAGAAUUUAACGGGGCUAAACCUGACACCGAAGCUUAGGCAAUCCAGCAAUGGAUUGGGUAGGGGAGCGUUGUAUACGCGGAGAAACAGUAGCGUAAGCGGCUGUGGAGUGUAUAGAAGUGAGAAUGCCGGAAUGAGUAGCGCGAAUGCAGUGAGAAUCUGCAUGGCCGAAAGCCUCAGGUUUUUGGAGGAAGGUUCGUCCGCUCCAAGUUAGUCGGGAGCUAAGGUGAGGCCGGAAGGCGUAGCCGAUGCACAGACGGUAGAGAUUCCGUCACCACCAAAAGAGUUAAGCACAGGGACACAUUUGAAGUCUCAGAGCCGGGUGUUGGUUCCGGUAGAGAUCGAGGGAAGUUAGUACCGAAGUCUGGGAUGGAAGAUGGCGAGAAAAGCUGUGUGUAUUUCUGAGGUGCCCGUACCGCAAACCGACACAGGUAGGUAGGAAGAAGAUUCUAAGGCCAACGGGAGAAGGGUUGUUAAGGAACUCGGCAAAUUGACCCCGUAACUUCGGGAGAAGGGGUGCUCCAGAGAUGGAGCCGCAGAGAAUCGGCCCAAGCAACUGUUUACCAAAAACACAGGUUUGUGCUAAAUCGAAAGAUGACGUAUACGAGCUGACGCCUGCCCGGUGCUGGAAGGUUAAGAGGAGAUGUGCAAGCAUUGAAUCGAAGCCCCAGUGAACGGCGGCCGUAACUAUAACGGUCCUAAGGUAGCGAAAUUCCUUGUCAGGUAAGUUCUGACCCGCAUGAAAGGCGUAAUGAUUUGGGCACUGUCUCAACAGCCCGCCCGGCGAAAUUGUAGUACCGGUGAAGAUGCCGGUUACCCGCGACAAGACGGAAAGACCCCAUGGAGCUUUACUGUAGCCUAAUAUUGGGUUUCGAUGUUGCAUGCACAGGAUAGAUGGGACACAGGGAAACAAUCGCUUUGGCGGUUGCGGAGUGGCCGUUGGGAUACCAUCCUUGCGAUAUUGGAAUUCUAACCUGCGGCUCUGAAUCGAGUCGGGGGACAUUGUUAGGUGGGCAGUUUGACUGGGGCGGUCGCCUCCUAAAAAGUAACGGAGGCGUUCAAAGGUUCGCUCAGCUUGAACGGAAAUCAAGCAAAAGAGUGCAAACGCAGAAGCGAGCCUAACUGCGAGACUGACGGGUCGAGCAGUAACG